rnacentral:rRNA from 1 species
UUCGGGAACUCUGAGACAGGCGCUGCAUGUNCUGUCGUCAGCUCGUGUUGUGAAAUGUUGGGUUAAGUCCCGCAACGAGCGCAACCCUUAUCCUUUGUUGCCAGCGGUUCGGCCGGGAACUCAAAGGAGACUGCCAGUGAUAAACUGGAGGAAGGUGGGGAUGACGUCAAGUCAUCAUGGCCCUUACGAGUAGGGCUACACACGUGCUACAAUGGCGCAUACAAAGAGAAGCGACCUCGCGAGAGCAAGCGGACCUCAUAAAGUGCNUCGUAGUCCGGAUUGGAGUCUGCAACUCGACUCCAUGAAGUCGGAAUCGCUAGUAAUCGUAGAUCAGAAUGCUACGGUGAAUACGUUCCCGGGUC